rnacentral:rRNA from 1 species
GACGGGGCCCGCACAAGCGGUGGAGCAUGUGGUUUAAUUCGAUGCAACGCGAAGAACCUUACCUGGGCUUGACAUCCCAAGAAUCCCCUGGAAACAGGGGAGUGCCCUUCGGGGAGCUUGGAGACAGGUGCUGCAUGGCUGUCGUCAGCUCGUGUCGUGAGAUGUUGGGUUAAGUCCCGCAACGAGCGCAACCCUUGCCUUUAGUUGCCAUCAUUCAGUUGGGCACUCUAGAGGGACUGCCGGUGUCAAACCGGAGGAAGGUGGGGAUGACGUCAAGUCCUCAUGGCCUUUAUGCCCAGGGCUACACACGUGCUACAAUGGGCGGUACAAAGAGCAGCGAGCUCGCGAGAGUAAGCAAAUCUCAAAAAGCCGUCCUCAGUUCGGAUUGGAGUCUGCAACUCGACUCCAUGAAGUUGGAAUCGCUAGUAAUCGCGGGUCAGCAUGCCGCGGUGAAUACGUUCCCGGGCCUU